GGAUGUGAGGGCGAGUUGGCUGCGACAUCUGUCACCCCAUUGAUCGCCAGGGUUGAUUUGGCUGAUCUGGCUCCCUUUCUUCCUCAUGACUCCAUGUGCGUCCCUCCCGAAGUUGAGGGUCACUGAGUUAGCUACGCUGCCUUGCUAGAACCUCCAAACAAACUCUGAAGAAACUUCCCUCCUGUAGGUGGGAACUGGGGGCUUGAACCUAAGUCCUUGCACACUGUAAUGUGUGUGCUCAACCUGGUGGCCAUCACCU
rnacentral:snRNA from 1 species